rnacentral:rRNA from 1 species
AACGAACGCUGGCGGCGUGCUUAACACAUGCAAGUCGAGCGCGAAAGGGACUUCGGUCCUGAGUAAAGUGGCGCACGGGUGAGUAACGCGUGGAUAAUCUACCCGUUGAACCGGGAUAACAUUUCGAAAGGGGUGCUAAUACCGGAUAAGACCACGGAGUCUUCGGGCUCAGUGGUAAAAGGUGGGGACCUUCGGGCCUACCGUCGACGGAUGAGUCCGCGUACCAUUAGCUAGUUGGUGGGGUAAGAGCCUACCAAGGCGACGAUGGUUAGCUGGUCUGAGAGGAUGAUCAGCCACACUGGAACUGAGACACGGUCCAGACUCCUACGGGAGGCAGCAGUGGGGAAUUUUGCGCAAUGGGGGAAACCCUGACGCAGCAACGCCGCGUGAGUGAUGAAGGCCUUCGGGUCGUAAAGCUCUGUCAGGGGGGAAGAAAUGCAGUUGUGCUAAUAUCGCGAUUGCUUGACGGUACCCUCAAAGGAAGCACCGGCUAACUCCGUGCCAGCAGCCGCGGUAAUACGGAGGGUGCGAGCGUUGUUCGGAAUUAUUGGGCGUAAAGCGCGUGUAGGCGGUUUGGUAAGUCUGAUGUGAAAGCCCCGGGCUCAACCUGGGAAGUGCAUUGGAAACUGUCAGACUUGAAUACGGGAGAGGGUAGUGGAAUUCCUAGUGUAGGAGUGAAAUCCGUAGAUAUUAGGAGGAACACCGGUGGCGAAGGCGGCUACCUGGACCGA